rnacentral:rRNA from 1 species
AGGGGGUAUUGCACCUACCGAAGACUAUCAAACUCCGAAUGCCGUCAUCUUAUACUUGGGAGUCAGACUGUGGGUGAUAAGAUUCAUAGUCGAAAGGGCAACAGCCCAGAUCGUCAGCUAAGGUCCCUAAAUGUAAGUUAAGUGGUAAAGGAUGUGGGAUUGCACAGACAACCAGGAUGUUGGCUUAGAAGCAGCCACUCAUUCAAAGAGUGCGUAAUAGCUCACUGGUCGAGUGAUCCUGCGCCGAAGAUUUCCGGGGCUAAAACUUACUACCGAAGCUACGGCAUCAGUAAUGAUGGGUAGGGGAGCUUCCCAUACGGGUUGAAGCAUGACCGUAAGGACAUGUGGACAGUAUGGGAGUGAGAAUGUUGGCAUGAGUAGCGAGAUGUGGGUGAGAAUCCCACAGGCCGUAAACCCAAGGUUUCCAGGGGAAGGUUCGUCCGCCCUGGGUUAGUCGGGACCUAAGCUGAGGCCGAAAGGCGUAGGUGAUGGACAACAGGUUGAUAUUCCUGUACUACCGAUAACCGUUUGAGAGAAGGGAUGACACAGUAGGAUAAGCUAAGCACACUGUUGGUUAUGUGUGCCCAAGCAUUGAGGCAGUCAAAGUAGGCAAAUCCGCUUUGAUAAUGCUGGGAUGUGAUGGGGAGCGAAAUUUAGUAGCGAAGUAGCUGAUUUCACACUGUCAAGAAAAGUCUCUAUCGAGGUUAAAGGUACCCGUACCGCAAACCGACACAGGUGGGUGAGGAGAGUAUCCUAAGGCCAGCGAGAGAACUGUUGUUAAGGAACUCGGCAAAAUGACCCCGUAACUUAGGGAUAAGGGGUGCCACCAUCAGGUGGCCGCAGAGAAUAGGCCCAAGCGACUGUUUACCAAAAACAUAGGUUUCUGCUAAGUCGCAAGACGAUGUAUAGGAGCUGACGCCUGCCCGGUGCUGGAAGGUUAAGGGGAUCUGUUAGAGCAAUCGAAGCAGUGAACUUAAGCCCCAGUAAACGGCGGCCGUAACUAUAACGGUCCUAAGGUAGCGAAAUUCCUUGUCGGGUAAGUUCCGACCCGCACGAAAGGCGUAACGAUUUGGGCACUGUCUCAACAACAGACUCGGUGAAAUUGUAAUUCCGGUGAAGAUGCCGGAUACCUGCGACAGGACGGAAAGACCCCAUGGAGCUUUACUGUAGCUUGACAUUGGGUCUUGGUACUACAUGUACAGGAUAGGUGGGAGGCUUUGAAACCAGGACGCCAGUUUUGGCGGAGCCAUCCUUGGGAUACCACCCUUGUAGUACUGGGACUCUAACCAUAGGCCAUGAAUCUGGUCUUGGGACACUGUCA